rnacentral:piRNA from 1 species
UACAGUAGAGAUAACCUUGUCAGUGAUGAGC